rnacentral:rRNA from 1 species
GUAGGUGGCAAGCGUUGUCCGGAAUUAUUGGGCGUAAAGCGCGCGCAGGCGGUUCUUUAAGUCUGAUGUGAAAGCCCACGGCUCAACCGUGGAGGGUCAUUGGAAACUGGGGAACUUGAGUACAGAAGAGGAAAGCGGAAUUCCACGUGUAGCGGUGAAAUGCGUAGAGAUGUGGAGGAACACCAGUGGCGAAGGCGGCUUUCUGGUCUGUAACUGACGCUGAGGCGCGAAAGCGUGGGGAGCAAACAGGGAUUAGAUACCCUGGUGGUCCACGCCGUAAACGAUGAGUGCUAAGUGUUAGGGGGUUUCCCGCCCCUUAGUGCUGCAGCUAACGCAUUAAGCACUCCGCCUGGGGAGUACGGCCGCAAGGCUG